GAGUUGAUUUGGUUUUCUCUUUAAUUAAAUUGGACCAAACCAAUUUUGGUUUAACCCAAACUUGGAUACAUAUAUAAAACGUAUGCAUCUCCUCCUCUUCCCUACCCUAGCCGCACCCAUCUCUUUUAAUGGCGAUCAAAAAAAGAAGCCACUAUCAUCACUCGUUCGUUGCCGCAGCCAUCGUCCUUCACCACCAGAGUCACCACGCUCACCGGAGGUGAAGUCCCUACCAUCACAUGCUUCGUUCUGUGCCGCUGCAGCCAUGAUGGUGAAGUUAUGUACCGGAUCCUUUAGACGCUGAACAUGACCGAGACGAGAAGAGAAGGUGAAGCCGGACCACCGUAUUAUCACCGCGGGCGUAAGCUGUUCAGCCGUGAGUUGAAUGUCACCGGAGAUCCAUGUCGCACUCAUCACCACUCGUCCUUUCCAAUGCGAUCUAUAUUCAUGUUCAUGGGAUGAACGUAAGGCCUCUCCCUUCCCUUACGUGAUGUCAUGUUAUACUAAUGACUCUUAACUGUGUUAUUUGGUCAAACGUGAGUUCAUGCAUAGGAGAAUCUAUUUUUCCUUGUGUUCUUGAUAAGCAAGUAAUUCCAACCAUGAGCCUUGGUCUUAAUUAAUUAAUCUCUUGCUUUUUGCCGAACUGCCAUGUGAUGCGUUUGAUCUGCCUUUAUGCGCCAUUGAUGAGAGAUCAAGACCCAAGGAGAAACCUUGAGUUUUCUUGUUGUUCAAGUCAUCUUGUUAUUUCGCCUUGUUUCUAGUUCUCCGAUAUGGCAAAGGAGAAGACCAAGUUUCAUUUCGUUUCAUUUCGUUUCAUUUAUCUCGUGUUCUUCUUUCUUUCAUAGUCGUUGAAGUUUCUUUCGGGUGUCGUCUAGAAUUCGGGACGAAUUCCAGUUAAGUGGGGAAGAAUUGUAACGACCCGGUUUCCUUAACCGGAGUUGAUUUGGUUUUCUCUUUAAUUAAAUUGGACCAAACCAAUUUUGGUUUAACCCAAACUUGGAUACAUAUAUAAAACGUAUGCAUCUCCUCCUCUUCCCUACCCUAGCCGCACCCAUCUCUUUUAAUGGCGAUCAAAAAAAGAAGCCACUAUCAUCACUCGUUCGUUGCCGCAGCCAUCGUCCUUCACCACCAGAGUCACCACGCUCACCGGAGGUGAAGUCCCUACCAUCACAUGCUUCGUUCUGUGCCGCUGCAGCCAUGAUGGUGAAGUUAUGUACCGGAUCCUUUAGACGCUGAACAUGACCGAGACGAGAAGAGAAGGUGAAGCCGGACCACCGUAUUAUCACCGCGGGCGUAAGCUGUUCAGCCGUGAGUUGAAUGUCACCGGAGAUCCAUGUCGCACUCAUCACCACUCGUCCUUUCCAAUGCGAUCUAUAUUCAUGUUCAUGGGAUGAACGUAAGGCCUCUCCCUUCCCUUACGUGAUGUCAUGUUAUACUAAUGACUCUUAACUGUGUUAUUUGGUCAAACGUGAGUUCAUGCAUAGGAGAAUCUAUUUUUCCUUGUGUUCUUGAUAAGCAAGUAAUUCCAACCAUGAGCCUUGGUCUUAAUUAAUUAAUCUCUUGCUUUUUGCCGAACUGCCAUGUGAUGCGUUUGAUCUGCCUUUAUGCGCCAUUGAUGAGAGAUCAAGACCCAAGGAGAAACCUUGAGUUUUCUUGUUGUUCAAGUCAUCUUGUUAUUUCGCCUUGUUUCUAGUUCUCCGAUAUGGCAAAGGUGAGCUUGACGAGUAGUCGGAUAUCUGGACGGAUGGUGUCUUGGGAUUGUCGUAUUUUAUUUCGAUUUUCAACUCGACUUAUUUGACAUAUUUUUAUAAUUGAUUUUAAAGAUAUAUUUCUUGUGGAUAUAUUUUAUUAAAUAUUUUUAAUAUUUUUAGGUUUUAAAUAA